rnacentral:rRNA from 1 species
AAUGAACGCUGGCGGCGUGCUUAACACAUGCAAGUCGUGCGCGAUGGUGGCUUCGGCUGCCGGAGAGCGGCGAACGGGUGAGUAACACGUGGGCAAUCUGCCUGGGGGUGUGGGAUAACCUGGGGAAACUCGGGCUAAUACCGCAUACGUUGUCGGGACCUUGGUCCUGCCAAGAAAGCUGGCCUCUGUUUACAAGCUAGCGCUCCCAGAGGAGCCCGCGCCUGAUAGCUAGUUGGUGAGGUAAUGGCUCACCAAGGCGACGAUCAGUAGCCGGCCUGAGAGGGUGAUCGGCCACACUGGAACUGAGACACGGUCCAGACUCCUACGGGAGGCAGCAGUGGGGAAUCUUGCGCAAUGGGCGAAAGCCUGACGCAGCGACGCCGCGUGAGGGAUGACGGCCU